GCUCAGGAUGAACGCUAGCUACAGGCUUAACACAUGCAAGUCGAGGGGCAGCAUGGUCUUAGCUUGCUAAGGCUGAUGGCGACCGGCGCACGGGUGAGUAACACGUAUCCAACCUGCCGUCUACUCUUGGCCAGCCUUCUGAAAGGAAGAUUAAUCCAGGAUGGGAUCAUGAGUUCACAUGUCCGCAUGAUUAAAGGUAUUUUCCGGUAGACGAUGGGGAUGUGUUCCAUUAGAUAGUAGGCGGGGUAACGGCCCACCUAGUCAACGAUGGAUAGGGGUUCUGAGAGGAAGGUCCCCCACAUUGGAACUGAGACACGGUCCAAACUCCUACGGGAGGCAGCAGUGAGGAAUAUUGGUCAAUGGGCGAUGGCCUGAACCA
rnacentral:rRNA from 1 species